UACGUAGGGGGCAAGCGUUAUCCGGAUUUACUGGGUGUAAAGGGGGCGCAGACGGCGAUGCAAGCCAGGAGUGAAAGCCCGGGGCCCAACCCCGGGACUGCUCUUGGAACUGCGUGGCUGGAGUGCAGGAGGGGUAGGCGGAAUUCCUAGUGUAGCGGUGAAAUGCGUAGAUAUUAGGAGGAACACCAGUGGCGAAGGCGGCCUACUGGACGGUGACUGACGCUGAGGCUCGAAAGCGUGGGGAGCAAACAGG
rnacentral:rRNA from 1 species